ensembl:lncRNA
GCAUUUUAAAACCUGCUCAGUUAACAUGAUACAUUAUUACUAGUCAUACCAGUUUCAAGGAUACACUUUAGUUAACUGAACUUAUGACUUUAAAUCAUUUCUUCUUUGACUUUUUACUUCCUAGUUCUUAGACCAUUCACUUUAGAAACUGUGAAGUUAUAAGUUGUUUGGGUGUUACUUUAAGGCACAACUUUUCUAACAUCUGAGCCUUUUAUUCUGUAUCAUUGAUCUAAAUGAUUGCUUUUAUGCCAAUACCAUGCUUCCUUUUUCACUAGAGCUCUUUAGUAUAGCUUGAGAUCUAGAAAUAAGCCCUUACAACUAUAGCCAUCUAAUUUUUGACAAAGGCAUGAAAAAACCUUUAAAAAAAGACAGUCUAUUCAACACAUGGUACUGGCAAAACUGGUUAUCUACCUACAAAAGAAUAAAAUUACAUCCACUUUUCUCAACUGGAACAUAAAUAAAUUCAAAGUGCAUCAAAUACCUUAAUUUAAAACUUAAACGUUCAACAUUCUAGAAGAAAAUGUAAAUGAAAUGCUUUAAAUUAUGAGUGUAGGUAGAAAUUUUCUCAAAAUGAUUCCAAUAGUACAUGAAGUAGUACUCAAAAUCAACUGGUUAGACUGCAUGAAAUUAAAAAGUUUCUACCAGAAUAAGCAUACCAUCAGGAGGGAACAUAGACAGUCUACAGAAUGUGAGAAAAUAUUUGGCAAUUAUACUUCACACAGGGGAUUGCUAUCUGGAAUAUGUUUUUAAAAUAAUAGAAAAAUUAACCCCCCAUAUCUAAUACCAUCAAUAAAUUAAUAGCCUAAAGAAAUGAAGAGAGUUUUUAAAGAAGAAGCAUAAAUAUCCAAUACAUGCUUUUCAAAGUAUUCUGCAUUUUUAGCAGAUUAAAUGCAGAUUAAAACCUCUUGAGAUUCCAUCUUACCUAAGUAAGAAUAGUGAUGUUCAAGAAAAUAAAGGAUAAUAGUGCUGAUGAUGAUGUAGGAAAAGAGGAAGGAAUCCUUAUCUCCGGCUGGAGAGUGUACAAAGUAAUAAAACCAUUAUAGAUAAAAGAAUGGAUUUCUCUCAAAAAAGAAAAAUAGACUCAACAUAUUACCUCACUGUACCACUUCUAGGCUCUAGGAUGCUUUAGUUAGGGGUUUCUAUCAAUGUGACUGAACACUACGACUAAAAGCAACUUGGGAGUGAAUGGUUUAUUUUUCUUACACUUUCAUAUCACAGUCCACCAUUGACAGAAUUUGAGGCAAGAAUUCAAGGCAGGAACCCGAAGAAGGAACAGAAACAGAGAUCCAUGAUGGAAGGGGACUUGCUGGCUUCUACCUUGCUGCUUUAUUAGCUUGCUUUUUUGUACAACACAGCACCUCCUUUCAAAAGGUGGCACCACCUACAGUGAGCUAGCUAGUGUCUCCAAUAGAUCACUAAUAAAGAAAACUUUUCUCAAAGGCUGAGACACAAGCAAGUCAGGUGGCUGAAUUUUUCUCAAAUGAGAUUCUCUUUAUGCAACUGAUUCUGGCUUAAGUUGACAACAAGCAAAGCAAAACAAAACAAAACAAAACAAAACAAAAAACUAAUCAGGAAAAUCGACUCCACAUAACUUGACACAUCAGUAUAAAACAUUAUAUUAAACCAUAACCUUUAUUUUCUGGUUUAUCCAUGAAAUUUCACAUUUUUCUCAAAGACCUCAAUAUAAAACACAUCACAACUUUUAAAACCAGAGUGUUAAAACUUCAAACAUUAUGAAAGCUCAGUCUCUUCACAACACUCAAAGUUCCCUCAGAAGAACAAAACUCCGCGGAAGGACCUACAAUCUCUCUGAAAUACCAGCCUGUUAAAAUUACAAAAUUUCUUAAUGAUAGACUCCUGCAUUUUUUUCAAUAAAUAUUUUCUCUUCCAGGAGAGAAGAAACUGGACUAAAUUAUACUCAAACUGAAGUCCAGUAAACGUUAGAAAUCUGAGACUCACUUGUCUUCUGGGCUCCAAAGCCCGAGGCAGCCCUCCUUCCCUGCCUCUGUCAUCCACAGCACAUGCAGAUACUCUCAGGCCACCACCUCUCCACACCUGCCGCUGCUGUCCCUUGUGCCCAUCCCAUACCACUGGAAUCCCCAAAAUGUUGGAACUUGUGCUGCAAAUGGGCUGCACCAUCUCCAAAAGCCUCUCCUGAGAGCUGUAUAGAGACCCUGACCUUGGCCCAUGAACAAGGUGUAGCUUUUGUAUCCUCUGGACCACAGCAUCUGUGGUUUGAUCCUGAGGAAACGCUUCCUGGAAGAUUUCACGCCAAUGAUGCUGGUCUGUUCUUAAUCACAGCUCAUACUUCAGCUUCAGCAGAUGUCCCAACACAGCCACCAUCUCACUUUGAUAAUUCUGGUCUCCUGUUAAUUUCAACUGAUUCUUCAGCACCAGGUGACCACAGACUCUUAAUUUGAAAUAUCAAAUGGUUAUGCUGGAGGAGUCCUUAAAGAAUUCUCAGAACUUCCUUUUAAAACUUCACAAGCUAGGACUCCCCUCAUCAGCAGCAUUGACAGUACUCUCAGAAUUAUCUUCUCAGUUUCCGUAAUUGCUUAUUAGACUCUGUACACUCAUUGGCUUUUCCAGGUCACAUUUUCAAAGUCCUUCCUGACUCCUCCAGUGCAAGGUUGUCAGACCUGUCACAGAAUUCUCCCACAAACCUGGUACAAAUUACCAUAUUCAGGUUUCUAUUGCUGUGAUAAAAUAUUCUGUCCAAAGUCACUUGGGGAGGAAAGGAUACAUUUCCUCUUACAAAUCCCAGGUUAUAUCAUACCACCACUGAGUGAAGUCAAGAGCAAGAACUCUAUGCUAAAACCUGGAGACAGAACCUGAAGUGGAAGACAUGGAGGAAUUCUGCUGAUCAGCUUGUUUGACCUGCUUUUUUACAUAACCCAGGACCACCUACCCAGAAGGAGGCAAUACCUACAGUGGAUGGACCCUCCCACAUCAAUCAUUAAUCAAGAAAACAUCUCACUGAUUUGUCCAUAAGCCAAUCUUAUGGACUCAUUUUUUAACACAACUAAUAAAAGACCCAGACACAGGUAUUGGGGUUCAAGCAUCAAAAUGAAGAUCACAGAAGAAAAGCAGCCAAGACAGUAGCACUUACCUCAGGCUGAAAGGACUGAUCCUGUCUCAAUGAGCUCUCCACCAAGCCUCAGAUUGCUGCCUCUUCUCAGUGUGGUGGAGAAUGAAUGCUUUCCUCUCCUCAAUAUGACUGGAGAAUGACUGCCAGCUCUGAGCUCCUGUUCCUGUCUUAAAUGCCUUUCAUGAAUGCUGGGAUUAAAGGCAUGAACUCUGUUACUCUUUUAGGCUGAUUCAACCUCAUAUAGCCCUGUGUGGCCUUGAACUCAGAGAUAUCCAUCUGCCUUUGUCUCAGGAGUCCUGGCAUUAAAGCUGUGUGCUACACCUGCCUGGCUUUUAUGGCUUACUAGUAUGGCUGCUUUACUAUUUUGAUCACUACUGGCUUUAAUAAAUCAUAAACAAUGUAUUCCCACACAUUUUCUCAAUUAUGAUUCUCUCUGCCCAGACAUGUCAAGGUUUGUGUUAAUUAAAACCAAUCAGGAAAUGGACCUUUGCACAAACAGUUCUACAUUCUACCACAGAGACAUUUGCACUUCCGUGAUUACUGCAGCAUUGUUUCAACAGCAAGGGACACAAACAGUUUAUAGACACUCAGCAACACAUGGAUGGAUAAUGAAAUGUCCCGCAUAUACACAACAGAAUAUUAUCCAUGUAUAAAGAAAAAUAAAAUGAUAUUUAGUGGAAGAUAGGUGAAUCUUGGAAGUAUUAAAUCAAGUGUUAUGAACCAGAGUCUAAAAAACAAACAUAAUAUGUUGUCUAAUUUUUAGCAAAUUAUGUAUAUGAAUGAGGUGAUUUGAAAGUAUUAAUGAGGGAAACAGAAGGAGAUGAGAGGUGCUGAAGAGGGAGAAUACAAAAGGACACUUGUGACAUGGAACUGGAAAUGCAACUGGGGGUGGCAGAGCACAAUGGUUAUAGGAGAUAUGUCAGAAAAGCGGAAAGAACAAUUAACAAUUUUCAAAAAUCUGCCAAAAUGAAAUGUAUGUUAGUAAAAACAAAUUAAAAAUGAAAAAAGUAUUUUAUUUUUCCUUGUCACUUUCACAACCCAGGAAUUUUUGUCUAAAGUACAUUUAAGCCAUUCCUUUGAGUAGAAAUUGCCAAAGAAAAUAAACCAAUGAGAUGACAGGAGCUGAACUUCAACAGUACCAAUUAACAAACACAAAUGAGCAAAUCAUAUUGACCACCUUCCAAUGCUGCAGUAAGAAUUAGAUAUCAGAACUCUGGCCUAUUUCUGUAAGGGGGGGGGUGAGUUGAAUCUUUCCUACAUAUUGAAAUCAACUGAAAUGGUUUUCUUCCCUCCUUAGAUUAUCUUAAUUUUUCUUUAGCAUUACCAUGUUUUGUUUUUUGUGAUAGUAAAUAAUCACAGGGAGAUGUGUACUUUACUUUCAAAUGGUGUACAAAGAAAUAGCCCCAGGGACAUUUUCUGAGUAAAAUUUGUAAAUAGUGUUUACUAUGUAAAGACAAAAUUAUAAUAAGCAUUUUAUGUGUAUAUUAAAAUGAUAUUAUGAAUUGAAUAUAAUAGAAACAAGUCAUUAAACCUAAAGGAUAGUAUUUAUGCAUUUGAUAUAGAUUCAAUUUUAAUUGAAACCAGUAUCUGCAAUAUGUAUUUACAUUCACAUAGUUAUGUGUUGUACAUUAACAAUUAAAUAUAGAUUAGGCAUCACUAGAAAUAUGAUAUCAUU